CUUUCAACAACGGAUCUCUUGGUUCCAGCAUCGAUGAAGAACGCAGCGAAAUGCGAUAAGUAAUGUGAAUUGCAGAAUUCAGUGAAUCAUCGAAUCUUUGAACGCACAUUGCGCCCCUCGGUAUUCCGGGGGGCAUGCCUGUUCGAGCGUCACUAACACCCCUCAAGCGUAGCUUGGUACUGAGCCUUCGCCGUCUCGGCGGGCUCGAAAA
rnacentral:rRNA from 1 species